UACGGAGGGGCCAGCGUUGCUCGGAAUUAUUGGGCGUAAAGGGCGCGUAGGCGGCUUGGUAAGUUUGAUGUGAAAUCCCAUGGCUCAACCAUGGAACUGCAUCUCAUACUGCCGAGCUAGAGUCUCGGAGAGGAUCGUGGAAUUCUCGGUGUAGAGGUGAAAUUCGUAGAUAUCGAGAGGAACACCGGUGGCGAAGGCGGCGAUCUGGACGGUGACUGACGCUGAGACGCGAAGCGUGGGGAGCAAACAGG
rnacentral:rRNA from 1 species